CACCGGCGCCCCGAGUGGCAAUCACGAUUAUUGGGCCUAAAGCGUCCGUAGCCGGACAGUUAAAUCCUCUGUGAAAUCGUCGCGCUCAACGUGACGGCGGGCAGGGGAGACUGGCUGUCUCGAGACCGGGAGGAGUCAGAGGUAUGCCGUGGGGACUGGUAAAAUGGUAUAAUCCACGGUAGACCACCAAUGGCGAAGGCAUCUGACUGGAACGGAUCUGACGGUGAGGGACGAAAGCCAGGGGAGCGAACCG
rnacentral:rRNA from 1 species